UACGAAGGGGCUAGCGUUGUUCGGAGUUACUGGGCGUAAAGGGCGCGUAGGCGGCGCACCAAGUCAGGCGUGAAAGCCCUGGGCUCAACCCGGGAAUUGCGCUUGAGACUGGUGUGCUCGAGUACGGGAGAGGAUAGUGGAAUUCCCAGUGUAGAGGUGAAAUUCGUAGAUAUUGGGAAGAACACCGGUGGCGAAGGCGGCUAUCUGGACCGUAACUGACGCUGAGGCGCGAAAGCGUGGGGAGCAAACAGGG
rnacentral:rRNA from 1 species